ACAUAUAUAGAUAGAUAUACAAAAAAGCGGCAUUAUAUAUUUAAAUAAUUUUUAUAUACAGUGUAUAUGAACCAAAGAAGAAGAAGAAGAAAAAUAUCUGCUCAAAAAGCAUCCUUCAUCAUCAUCAACAUCAUAAUCGUUUGUCGUCGUAACCAUUAACGAUUAUUCGUUCAAAUGGAUGUACAAGCGCCAAUAACACUGCCGUGUCUAUAAAUAUUCAAAAAAAAAUAAUAAUUUCCAAAAGAAAAUAGAAAAUUUUUGAAAAUCAAAGAAAUUCAACACACACAAAAAACAUUCUGCAAAAUAUUGGAAGCCAAAAAACCGGAACACAUAUAAAUCAGAAAGUCCAGAAUUUUUAAAAUUUCGAG